rnacentral:sRNA from 1 species
UAUAGACCACUUGGUCAUGUUACUGACUUAAGCGUCGGAGUGCCUUUGACAGGUACCCGACCGCCCGGCUUGGACAACGAGGAGAGAGAACGAAUACUACAACCAGGACUUGAAGACGAGAGAGUCCGUUUGGCCCUUCCCAGCGCGUCCAGCCCUUAGCCAAGAGGUAACCGUCCGGUUUUCACCAGCUUCUAGUGCCCCCUAGAGACAGAGCCGCUCAGUCUGCUUCAGUUGUGGGAUUCAGCAACGUCCGCCCGGUCUUAAGCAAACUCUUGUGUGUUUUAACAAGGUCAGACCAGAUCCGACCGAAACAUUCCUCAACCGCCUUUUCUCCCUCAAUGAUGUCCACAUCACUCUACAUCUAAUACAAAACCUAGUCAAUCAUCGAACCUUUAAACAUUCAUCUUAUGCAAACUAGAUCCAAAGUUGGUACUUUACAAACUUGUGUUCAUCCUAUCCUUCUUCUUGCCUACUUAGAAUCUACCACAACGAAACAAGCUUGUCAAGAUUCGUAAUCAUUUUAUGUUAUGAAGGACAAAAU